rnacentral:piRNA from 1 species
UGAACUAGUCUUGCUGCCACCACCUUC